AAAAAUUAUACCAAACUAAUCAAGCCAUAAUAAUCAUCUUCUAAAUGAAAAGAAAAAAAAAACCUAAUCUCCCUUUGUUCUUAUGUCAUUAUCUUCCAUUAUUUCUUGUUCAUCUGCUUCUUUCGUCUUAUUCUAUCAAACACAACAAAAACUGCAAACCAUCUUUUACACAUUCCCAAUUUUUCAUUGUUCAUAAAAAUAAAACCCAUCUUCAAAGCUUCAACAAAUUAUUAAGAAAAGGUGAGAGAUAUUGUAGCUGGAAUAAUUAGGAGUAGAAUAGAAUGCAUAUUCUUGAAGAGAAAUCUUCCUAGGGGGAAUAAUAUAGACACAUAGUGGUGGGUCAAUGUCCAACUAGGAAUAGAUUUUGUAAUUAUUGAUCAUACACAUUUGCAUUGCACUUCCCACAUGAACAUAGUAGUUAGCCCCAAAAGAUGAAUUACUAAUAUUCGUUCAUAAACAAAUAAAGAGAGUGGUAGUUUCCAAUUUAGCAAGAAGUGAAAAGAAAAGGUAAAAAGGUAAAAAGUAUCAAACUUCCCACGCCAUUAUGUCAAAGUGGAUUACAAUGAAGCAUGGCCCUACAAAUUUUAACCUAGUAAGAGUUUCUCAGAAUCUUUGAUCAUUGUAACUCUUUUCUCUCUGGUUGCAACUUCGCAAGUCACUUUCUUUUUAACCCUUGAGAUGCAUGGAUGGAUUUGGCCAUUAAAAUAAAAAGUUG
rnacentral:lncRNA from 1 species